rnacentral:lncRNA from 1 species
CCGGAUGUAAAAUGUUUUAAAGUGAUUUUUUAGUUUGAUUAUUACUGGAAAUAAACUAAGGAAGAGUAAAAAAGAAAAACAAUAACACACUCUCUCUCCGUCUCUCAUUGAACCCUAAGUCGAUCCAUUCCUCCAUUCUUUCACUCACUAUCUCUGUUCCAUUCAACCGCUCCGUUCUCAGUUUGCAUCACUCCUGACUGUUUCUCAGUUCUCACUUCUCAGUCUCACAUCUGGUCGUUCGAAACAGUUCCGUUCAGAUCCGUUUCGCAAUCAAAUCAAUUCGCGGACCUUAGAUAAACAAGUUAUUUCUGUUCAGUUCGGUUUUAGUCACCGAAGCCUUUAAUCGUAUUUUGUGAAUUUGUAAGUUCUUGAUUCCCAUUCUUUUUUUUCUUCUUUCGAUUUAUAGAUAUUGAUUUUAGGGUUCUAAAACUCUCUAAUAAAGUUUAUGGAUAUUUGGUUCAUGGAUAUUCGAAUCACAAAUUUCAAUCCCUAGUUGCAAAAUCAAGGCUCACUGAACCCAAAUCGAAGCUCAGUG